UAGCCUAGUGCUUAAGGCUAUGGAUCGCCAAUCCGGAGACAGCGGGUUCGAUUCCCGU
rnacentral:tRNA from 1 species